rnacentral:rRNA from 1 species
GAUCCUGGCUCAGGAUGAACGCUGGCGGCGUGCUUAACACAUGCAAGUCGAACGAGGAAUUUCAAAUGAGGCUUCGGCGGAUUUUAAAAUUCUUAGUGGCGGACGGGUGAGUAACGCGUGGGCAACCUGCCCUGUACAGGGGGACAACAGCUGGAAACGGCUGCUAAUACCGCAUAAGCGCACAGCAUCGCAUGAUGCCGUGUGAAAAACUCCGGUGGUACAGGAUGGGCCCGCGUUGGA